AGCGAACGCUGGCGGCAGGCUUAACACAUGCAAGUCGAGCGGGCCCUUCGGGGUCAGCGGCAGACGGGUGCGUAACACGUGGGAACGUACCCUUUGGUUCGGAAUAACGCUGGGAAACUAGCGCUAAUACCGGAUACGCCCUUUUGGGGAAAGGCUUGCUGCCGGAGGAUCGGCCCGCGUCUGAUUGGCUAGUUGGUGGGGUAAUGGCCUACCAAGGCGACGAUCAGUAGCUGGUCUGUGAGGAUGCUCAGCGACACUGGGACUGAGACACGGCCCAGACUCCUACGGGAGGCAGCAGUGGGUAAUAUUGGACAAUGGGCGCAAGCCUGAUCCAGCCAUGCCGCGUGAGUGAUGAAGGCCUUAGGGUUGGAAAGCUCUUUUGUCCGGGACGAUAAUGACGGUACCGGAAGAAUAAGCCCCGGCUAACUUCGUG
rnacentral:rRNA from 1 species